GAUUUGUUUGGAUUCAGUCAACGAAAUUUCUGCAGUCCGCCAUGACAGUCCGCGUUCUAAUUUUCUUCUGGAGCCUUGCCGUCGCGGAAAAUUGCCGGAAAGCGACUAAGUUUAGUGCGAAAGUGUACGCGAGUGAUCACGAUUCACGAAGCGCAGGACAGAAGCAUUCUGAGCGACACGGUCGCUCCACCGGCUACAGAUGAUUCCUCUCCCGCACCUCCGGAUGGUGCUAAGGAAGUGCAGAAGAUGCACUCUUUCUAUCAGGUGUUGCGUCAACGGAUUUGCCCGUACGGAGGUAGUUUGUAUGCUAUUCAGAAGCUGGAUUAUGUGGCCCAUGAAGACAUCUUGCCGUAUAGUUCCGGCGAACAGCAGCACUGCAGCUUGAGUUCGAUUGGUUUGUAGGCUGCCGGCAUAGCUGAAGAAGAAAUCACCGAAGGCGGUCACCCGUAUGCACACAUGGGAUAUCACGAGAAGCCAGCUGGUGCAUUGGAUCGGCACGAGAAACUUGAUCGAGCUCCGCGGUUUAUUUCACUGUGUACUGAGGGAUGCUUAUCACUACCGGAAGUGCUUUCAGGCUUGUAUUUUUUGGCUCUGCCCACUGAGAGUCCUUGGACUACACCACCUGAAGCGUCUCAGCCGUUAUCCUGUAUCAUUUAGAAUAUUAUUAAUGCAAUAAAAAUUGUAAUAAAUAAUUUA